GAAACAAAGAAAGAAAGAAAAGUAAAAUUGGACGCCACGUAUUCGAUUGUUUUGCCCACAGUGCAUUUGUCAUUUUUUCCGUUUU
rnacentral:ribozyme from 1 species